rnacentral:rRNA from 1 species
UACGGAGGGUGCGAGCGUUGUCCGGAAUCAUUGGGCGUAAAGAGCGUGUAGGCGGUCCGGUCAGUCGGUUGUGAAAGUCAGGGGCUCAACCCUUGAAUGCCGGCCGAUACUGCCGGGCUAGAGUCCGGAAGAGGUGAGUGGAAUUCCUGGUGUAGCGGUGAAAUGCGCAGAUAUCAGGAGGAACACCGAUGGCGAAGGCAGCUCACUGGGACGGUACUGACGCUGAGACGCGAAAGCGUGGGGAGCAAACAGG